CAGUAGCCGCGGGAAUACCGAGGGUGCGAGCGUUAAUCGGAUUUACUGGGCGUAAAGCGUGCGUAGGCGGCUUCUUAAGUCGGAUGUGAAAUCCCUGAGCUUAACUUAGGAAUUGCAUUCGAUACUGGGAAGCUAGAGUAUGGGAGAGGAUGGUAGAAUUCCAGGUGUAGCGGUGAAAUGCGUAGAGAUCUGGAGGAAUACCGAUGGCGAAGGCAGCCAUCUGGCCUAAUACUGACGCUGAGGUACGAAAGCAUGGGGAGCAAACAGGAUUAGAUACCCGCGUAGUCCCUGUCUCUUAUAU
rnacentral:rRNA from 1 species